rnacentral:rRNA from 1 species
UACGUAGGGUGCAAGCGUUGUCCGGAUUUAUUGGGUUUAAAGGGUACGUAGGUGGUCUACUAAGUCUUGUGUGAAAGCCCGCAGCUCAACUGUGGAAUUGCCUGAGAUACUGGUAGACUUGAGUGCGGUUGAGGUAGCUGGAAUUGGUGGUGUAGCGGUGAAAUGCAUAGAUACCACCAGGAACACCGAUUGCGAAGGCAGGUUACUAAACCGCAACUGACACUGAGGUACGAAAGCGUGGGGAGCGAACAGG